rnacentral:rRNA from 1 species
AACGAACGCUGGCGGCGCGCCUAAUACAUGCAAGUCGAGCGAGAAGACGUAGCAAUACGUUUGUAAAGCGGCGAACGGGUGAGGAAUACAUGGGUAACCUACCCUCGAGUGGGGAAGUAACUAGCCGAAGGUUAGCUAAUACCGCGUACGCUCCUUGGACUUCGGUUCAGGGAGGAAAGCGAUACCGUGGGUAUCGCGCUCUUGGAUGGGCUCAUGUCCUAUCAGCUUGUUGGUGAGGAACGGCUCACCAAGGCUUCGACGGGUAGCUGGUCUGAGAGGACGAUCAGCCACACUGGCACUGCGACACGGGCCAGACUCCUACGGGAGGCAGCAGUAAGGAAUAUUGCGCAAUGGGCGAAAGCCUGACGCAGCGACGCCGCGUGGGGGAGUGAAGGGUC